rnacentral:rRNA from 1 species
UACGGGGGGGGCAAGCGUUGUUCGGAAUUACUGGGCGGAAAGGGUUUGUAGGUGGCUUGUUAAGUCAGACGUGAAAUCCCUCAGCUUAACUGGGGAACUGCGUCUGAUACUGGCGAGCUUGAGUGCAGGAGAGGAACGCGGAAUUCCAGGUGUAGCGGUGAAAUGCGUAGAUAUCUGGAGGAACACCGGUGGCGAAGGCGGCGUUCUGGACUGCAACUGACACUGAGAAACGAAAGCCAGGGUAGCAAACGGG